rnacentral:rRNA from 1 species
CAGUCGCCGCGGUAAUACGUAGGGUGCAAGCGUUAAUCGGAAUUACUGGGCGUAAAGCGUGCGUAGGCGGUUUGUCGCGUCUGCUGUGAAAACUGGAGGCUCAACCUCCAGCCUGCAGUGGGUACGGGCAGACUAGAGUGCGGUAGGGGAGAUUGGAAUUCCUGGUGUAGCGGUGGAAUGCGCAGAUAUCAGGAGGAACACCGAUGGCGAAGGCGACCACCUGGACUGAUACUGACACUGAGGUGCGAAAGCGUGGGGAGCAAACAGGAUUAGAUACCCCGGUAGUCCCUGUCUCUUAUAC